GUAGGUGGCAAGCGUUGUCCGGAAUUAUUGGGCGUAAAGCGCGCGCAGGGCGGUCCUUUAAGUCUGAUGUGAAAGCCCACGGCUCAACCGUGGAGGGUCAUUGGAAACUCGGGGGGCUUGAGUACAGAAGAGGAAAGCGGAAUUCCAAGUGUAGCGGUGAAAUGCGUAGAGAUUUGGAGGAACACCAGUGGCGAAGGCGGCUUUCUGGUCUGUAACUGACGCUGAGGCGCGAAAGCGUGGGGAGCAAACAGGAUUAGAUACCCUGGUAGUCCACGCCGUAAACGAUGAGUGCUAAGUGUUAGGGGGUUUCCGCCCCUUAGUGCUGCAGCUAACGCAUUAAGCACUCCGCCUGGGGAGUACGGCCGCAAGGCUG
rnacentral:rRNA from 1 species